AUUGAACGCUGGCGGCAGGCCUAACACAUGCAAGUCGAGCGCGCGGCGGACGGGUGAGUAAUGUAUGGGGACUGCCCCAUAUAGGGGGAUAACUAUUGGAAACGGUAGCUAUUACCGCAUACUAUAGGAUAACCCCUAUGGGAUUAGCUAUUAGGUGGGGGAAUGGCUCACCUAGGCGACGAUCCCUAGCUGGUCUGAGAGGAUGAUCAGCCACACUGGGACUGAGACACGGCCCAGACUCCUACGGAGGCAGCAGUGUGGAAUAUUGCACAAUGGGCGCAAGCCUGAUGCAGCCAUGCCGCGUGUAUGAAGAAGGCCUUAGGGUUGUAAAGUACUUUCAGUCGGGAGGCGUUACCGGCAGAAGAAGCACCGGCUAACUCCGUGCCAGCAGCCGCGGUAAUAC
rnacentral:rRNA from 1 species